rnacentral:rRNA from 1 species
UAGGGGGCAAGCGUUAUCCGGAUUUACUGGGAGUAAAGGGAGCGCAGACGGCUGUGCAAGUCUGGAGUGAAAGGCGGGGGCCCAACCCCCGGCCUGCUCUGGAAACUGUAAAGCUGGAGUGCAGGAGAGGUAAGCGGAAUUCCUAGUGUAGCGGUGAAAUGCGUAGAUAUUAGGAGGAACACCAGUGGCGAAGGCGGCUUACUGGACUGCAACUGACGUUGAGGCUCGAAAGCGUGGGGAGCAAA